UUCACCUUGACCAAUCUGCAUUGUUGGACAACAGACAGCUACGGCGCGGCCUCCGUAGACAGCAGCACUCCUGACAUGACUGCUCACGAAACAAACCGACAUGGAGGAGGACCUUAAAACUUUUCUUCAGUCAAGGCAUGUUCCAGAAGAGGACAUUAAACAAAUGAAAGUGGAUAAGAUUGACAGAAGGGUCAUUUGUUUUAUGACAGAUGAAGAAAGGGCAAAGUAUAUCCCUUCAUAUGGUGACCGCUUGGCUGUUGUCUCAUUUUGUAGACAGAGGGAAGCAAAUUUCAACAAGGAAGGAGUUUUAAAUAGAGUUCGACAAAAGAUUGAGGCAAGACGGACAAAAAGGAAAACACCUCCUGGGGAACGACAGCAAACAUCUGUGGAAAGUUCUGGUCUAAUGGCAAGACAUAAAAACACAAAUGCAGUAAAAUCCAAGCGAAGAAUUGAAGUGGGGUGGCUGCACUUUCAAUAUGAUGAUUUUUAUCAAGUAAGGUCAAAAAUGGAGGCGGGACCAGGCAUCUGACACUAAAAAAAUACACCAGUGUUCCAGAGAUUAGGCAAAUUGCAAAGAAUUAGGUUUUUCCUGAUGGCUUGUCACCAGAGGGACCCAUUACAGACUUCACAUGUGCGACUUCAAAAAACAAACUGUACCUCUGGAAUCUACACUUGUGGAAUUGUAUGAACAAUGUAAACUUAAAAUGUUGAGGCUUUACCUUUGCACCAAAGAUUCUGUGCCUUCUUCAGAUUCAUCAGGGGACCAAGAGCUGUUUGAACAGUCUCAUAACAAAGACAGAACAUCUACUCAACAGAACAGACUUUCUGUCCCUUUUGCUGAGACCUCAGCUUCAAAAUACACUUUCAAGGCCCUACACC